CGAAAUGCGAUAAGUAAUGUGAAUUGCAGAAUUCAGUGAAUCAUCGAAUCUUUGAACGCACCUUGCGCUCCUUGGUAUUCCUUGGAGCAUGCCUGUUUGAGUAUCAUGAAAUCUUCAAAGUAAAUCUUUUGUUAACUCAAUUGGUUUCUACUUUGGUAUUGGAGGUCUUUGCAGCUUCACACCUGCUCCUCUUUGUUCAUUAGCUGGAUCUCAGUGUUAUGCUUGGUUCCACUCGGCGUGAUAAGUUAUCUAUCGCUGAGGACACUGUAAAAGGUGGCCAAGGUAAAUGCAGAUGAACCGCUUCUAAUAGUCCAUUGACUUGGACAAUACUUUUAUGCUCUGAUCUCAAAUCAGGUAGGACUACCCGCUGAACUUAAGC
rnacentral:misc_RNA from 1 species